GACGAACGCUGGCGGCGUGCUUAACACAUGCAAGUCGAACGGAAAGGCCCCUUUGGGGGUACUCGAGUGGCGAACGGGUGAGUAACACGUGAGUAACCUGCCCUGGACUUCGGGAUAACUUCAGGAAACUGGGGCUAAUACCGGAUAGGAAUCCUUGCUGCAUGGUGGGGGUUGGAAAGCUUCGGCGGUUUUGGAUGGACUCGCGGCUUAUCAGCUUGUUGGUGGGGUAGUGGCUUACCAAGGCUUUGACGGGUAGCCGGCCUGAGAGGGCGACCGGCCACAUUGGGACUGAGAUACGGCCCAGACUCCGACGGGAGGCAGCAGUGGGGAAUAUUGCACAAUGGGCGGAAGCCUGAUGCAGCAACGCCGCGUGCGGGAUGACGGCCUUCGGGUUGUAAACCGCUUUCAGCAGGGGCGAAGCUUGUGGUGACGGUACCUGCAGAAGAAGCACCGGCUAACUACGUG
rnacentral:rRNA from 1 species